rnacentral:rRNA from 1 species
UGCAAACUGCGAAUACCGGAGAAUGUUAUCACGGGAGACACACGGCGGGUGCUAACGUCCGUCGUGAAGAGGGAAACAACCCAGACCGCCAGCUAAGGUCCCAAAGUCAUGGUUAAGUGGGAAACGAUGUGGGAAGGCCCAGACAGCCAGGAUGUUGGCUUAGAAGCAGCCAUCAUUUAAAGAAAGCGUAAUAGCUCACUGGUCGAGUCGGCCUGCGCGGAAGAUGUAACGGGGCUAAACCAUGCACCGAAGCUGCGGCAGCGACGCUGAUGCGUUGUUGGGUAGGGGAGCGUUCUGUAAGCCUGUGAAGGUGUGCUGUGAGGCAUGCUGGAGGUAUCAGAAGUGCGAAUGCUGACAUAAGUAACGAUAAAGCGGGUGAAAAGCCCGCUCGCCGGAAGACCAAGGGUUCCUGUCCAACGUUAAUCGGGGCAGGGUGAGUCGACCCCUAAGGCGAGGCCGAAAGGCGUAGUCGAUGGGAAACAGGUUAAUAUUCCUGUACUUGGUGUUACUGCGAAGGGGGGACGGAGAAGGCUAUGUUGGCCGGGCGACGGUUGUCCCGGUUUAAGCGUGUAGGCUGGUUUUCCAGGCAAAUCCGGAAAACUAAGGCUGAGGCGUGAUGACGAGGCACUACGGUGCUGAAGCAACAAAUGCCCUGCUUCCAGGAAAAGCCUCUAAGCAUCAGGUAACAUCAAAUCGUACCCCAAACCGACACAGGUGGUCAGGUAGAGAAUACCAAGGCGCUUGAGAGAACUCGGGUGAAGGAACUAGGCAAAAUGGUGCCGUAACUUCGGGAGAAGGCACGCUGAUAUGUAGGUGAAGUCCCUCGCGGAUGGAGCUGAAAUCAGUCGAAGAUACCAGCUGGCUGCAACUGUUUAUUAAAAACACAGCACUGUGCAAACACGAAAGUGGACGUAUACGGUGUGACGCCUGCCCGGUGCCGGAAGGUUAAUUGAUGGGGUCAGCGCAAGCGAAGCUCUUGAUCGAAGCCCCGGUAAACGGCGGCCGUAACUAUAACGGUCCUAAGGUAGCGAAAUUCCUUGUCGGGUAAGUUCCGACCUGCACGAAUGGCGUAAUGAUGGCCAGGCUGUCUCCACCCGAGACUCAGUGAAAUUGAACUCGCUGUGAAGAUGCAGUGUACCCGCGGCAAGACGGAAAGACCCCGUGAACCUUUACUAUAGCUUGACACUGAACAUUGAGCCUUGAUGUGUAGGAUAGGUGGGAGGCUUUGAAGUGUGGACGCCAGUCUGCAUGGAGCCGACCUUGAAAUACCACCCUUUAAUGUUUGAUGUUCUAACGUUGACCCGUAAUCCGGGUUGCGGACAGUGUCUGGUGGGUAGUUUGACUGGGGCGGUCUCCUCCUAAAGAGUAACGGAGGAGCACGAAGGUUGGCUAAUCCUGGUCGGACAUCAGGAGGUUAGUGCAAUGGCAUAAGCCAGCUUGACUGCGAGCGUGACGGCGCGAGCAGGUGCGAAAGCAGGUCAUAGUGAUCCGGUGGUUCUGAAUGGAAGGGCCAUCGCUCAACGGAUAAAAGGUACUCCGGGGAUAACAGGCUGAUACCGCCCAAGAGUUCAUAUCGACGGCGGUGUUUGGCACCUCGAUGUCGGCUCAUCACAUCCUGGGGCUGAAGUAGGUCCCAAGGGUAUGGCUGUUCGCCAUUUAAAGUGGUACGCGAGCUGGGUUUAGAACGUCGUGAGACAGUUCGGUCCCUAUCUGCCGUGGGCGCUGGAGAACUGAGGGGGGCUGCUCCUAGUACGAGAGGACCGGAGUGGACGCAUCACUGGUGUUCGGGUUGUCAUGCCAAUGGCACUGCCCGGUAGCUAAAUGCGGAAGAGAUAAGUGCUGAAAGCAUCUAAGCACGAAACUUGCCCCGAGAUGAGUUCUCCCUGACUCCUUGAGAGUCCUGAAGGAACGUUGAAG